CUGGCGGCGUGCCUAAUACAUGCAAGUCGAACGAGUUCUCGUUGAUGAUCGGUGCUUGCACCGAGAUUCAACAUGGAACGAGUGGCGGACGGGUGAGUAACACGUGGGUAACCUGCCCUUAAGUGGGGGAUAACAUUUGGAAACAGAUGCUAAUACCGCAUAGAUCCAAGAACCGCAUGGUUCUUGGCUGAAAGAUGGCGUAAGCUAUCGCUUUUGGAUGGACCCGCGGCGUAUUAGCUAGUUGGUGAGGUAAUGGCUCACCAAGGCGAUGAUACGUAGCCGAACUGAGAGGUUGAUCGGCCACAUUGGGACUGAGACACGGCCCAAACUCCUACGGGAGGCAGCAGUAGGGAAUCUUCCACAAUGGACGCAAGUCUGAUGGAGCAACGCCGCGUGAGUGAAGAAGGCUUUCGGGUCGUAAAACUCUGUUGUUGGAGAAGAAUGGUCGGCAGAGUAACUGUUGUCGGCGUGACGGUAUCCAACCAGAAAGCCACGGCUAACUACGUGCCAGCAGCCGCGGUAAUACGUAGGUGGCAAGCGUUAUCCGGAUUUAUUGGGCGUAAAGCGAGCGCAGGCGGUUUUUUAAGUCUGAUGUGAAAGCCCUCGGCUUAACCGAGGAAGCGCAUCGGAAACUGGGAAACUUGAGUGCAGAAGAGGACAGUGGAACUCCAUGUGUAGCGGUGAAAUGCGUAGAUAUAUGGAAGAACACCAGUGGCGAAGGCGGCUGUCUGGUCUGUAACUGACGCUGAGGCUCGAAAGCAUGGGUAGCGAACAGGAUUAGAUACCCUGGUAGUCCAUGCCGUAAACGAUGAAUGCUAGGUGUUGGAGGGUUUCCGCCCUUCAGUGCCGCAGCUAACGCAUUAAGCAUUCCGCCUGGGGAGUACGACCGCAAGGUUGAAACUCAAAGGAAUUGACGGGGGCCCGCACAAGCGGUGGAGCAUGUGGUUUAAUUCGAAGCAACGCGAAGAACCUUACCAGGUCUUGACAUCUUUUGAUCACCUGAGAGAUCAGGUUUCCCCUUCGGGGGCAAAAUGACAGGUGGUGCAUGGUUGUCGUCAGCUCGUGUCGUGAGAUGUUGGGUUAAGUCCCGCAACGAGCGCAACCCUUAUGACUAGUUGCCAGCAUUUAGUUGGGCACUCUAGUAAGACUGCCGGUGACAAACCGGAGGAAGGUGGGGAUGACGUCAAAUCAUCAUGCCCCUUAUGACCUGGGCUACACACGUGCUACAAUGGAUGGUACAACGAGUUGCGAGACCGCGAGGUCAAGCUAAUCUCUUAAAGCCAUUCUCAGUUCGGACUGUAGGCUGCAACUCGCCUACACGAAGUCGGAAUCGCUAGUAAUCGCGGAUCAGCACGCCGCGGUGAAUACGUUCCCGGGCCUUGUACACACCGCCCGUCACACCAUGAGAGUUUGUAACACCCGAAGCCGGUGGCGUAACCCUUUUAGGGAGCGAGCCGUCUAA
rnacentral:rRNA from 2 species